GGGUAAGUGCGGUAACUCGUUUGGUAAAAAGUCGGACUUGUAAUCCAGUGGUCGCGGGUUUAAUACCCGCUCGACCCG